UAUGGAUGGGCAUGCGUAUCAUUAGCUAGUUGGCGAGGUAAUGGCUCACCAAGGCGACGAUGAUUAAGGGUUCUGAGAGGAUAUCCCCCCACACUGGAACUGAAACACGGACCAAACUCCUACGGGAGACAGCAGUAGGGAAUAUUGGGCAAUGGAAGCAAUUCUGACCCAGCCAUGCCGCGUGAAGGAAUACAGCCCUAUGGGUUUAAACUUCUUUUAUUAUAGAGUAACCGGAGGUACGUGUACCUCCCUGCAAGUAUAUGAUGAAUAAGGAUCGGCUAACUCCGUGCCAGCAGCCGCGGUAAUACGGAGGAUCCAAGCGUUAUCCGGAUUUAUUGGGUUUAAAGGGUGCGCAGGCGGAUCAAUAAGUCAGGGGUGAAAAAUUUCAGCUUAACUGGAAUCGUGCCUUUGAUACUGUUGGACUAGAGUAUAAUUGACGUGACUGGAAUGUGAUGUGUAGCGGUGAAAUGCUUAGAUAUGUCACAGAACGCCAAUCGUGAAGACAGGUCACGAAAUUAUUACUGACGCUCAUGCACGAAAGCGUGGGGAUCAAACAGGAUUAGAUACCCUGGUAGUCCACGCUGUAAACGAUGAUUACUCGUUGUUGGGCAGUGAUGCUCAGUGGCUAAGCGAAAGCGAUAAGUAAUCCACCUGGGGAGUACGAUCGCAAGGUUGAAACUCAAAGGAAUUGACGGGGGCCCGCACAAGCGGAGGAGCAUGUGGUUUAAUUCGAUGAUACGCGAGGAACCUUACCCGGGCUUGA
rnacentral:rRNA from 1 species